GCCGGCAACAAUCGCGCCAAUGCAGCAAAAGUGCACUCAUAAUAUAUGUGUAAAAAAUAAAAAAUAAUAAUAAUAAUAACAUCGUGUAAACCUUUUUUUAUAGUGGCGGCGGUAUAUCAAAAGCGAUUGACAAAUGAACGCGUUUUCGCGAUCGUCUCGUAAAAAAAAAAAAAAACGGUGCAAAUGUGCAAUAUGAGCUCAUCUCAUUAUUUCUACCGCUCGUAACGCCAUUAAUCGACUGACUGUAUACUUUCUGACUGAUUCUCGUAUAAAUCGAAAAUAAUAAAUUCGUUUGUUCGCCGUCCAGUCUCGAGCAAAAUAAUUUUGUUAUAAUAUAUACAUCUUGUUACCGCGAACAGCGAGUAGUUUAAAAUUGUCUACAGAUGUAGACACAUGCAGUAUUGUUAUAUACAGAAAACAAUGAAGGCGAUUAUUGUUGGGUAUACCUCGUCAAAAUAUUUUACAGGCUCGUAUACAGACGACGGGGCACGCGUGUUCGGAAUGGUAAUGGUUUGCAGAAAACAUAAUAUAUAUUUAUCGUCGUUCAACUCAACGGCUGUGAUUCUAACAAUGAUUUGACGAAAAUGACGUAUACAAUUUACGUUUUCUGUAUAACAUAAAAGGUACGUAAAAUUUAAUUUUUACACAUAUUAUUAUAUUUUACCGACGGAAUAACAGCGAAUAUUAUAAUGGGUGAAUUAUACACAUCGCGCCCAUUUCCUAGCUUCGUAAUUCGAUUCCCGUCUCCGUAUAUGAGCUAUCACCGUCAUAAUUGAAUAACGACGACAUGUGCAUACAAGACGGCGGCACGCGUGCGCGCGACAAGGUCGUCCAUCAGUCAUCCGCGGCGUUCCACAGAAACUCAGCAUCGGCGAAUCGUCGCAGGCUCGCAACACGUGUCCCCGACUGCUUCCUCCUCGUAUUCUCGGCAUGCCAGUUCGCACGCGCGUUCGCACACAUAAUAGAUUGUAGUGUUAAUACCCGAGAUACCGGCUGCAAUAAUAUUUCUCCUCGAUACCUUGAUGACGGACAACAAUUUUAUUUCAAACUCAAAUUUACUACUACUCAACAUUGCAACAGCGUCACCAGUCGCGACAACGCGGCGCGCGAUUAUCUACAUACGGUUACACAUCAAGCCUUGGCGGUCAAGCCACGGAUUACAGUUGAUUAAAUUUAUUAUUAUACACUUUUACUAAUAAUAUAGCUGAUAACGAUAAAAUUAGUUGCGUAUAUUUAUAAUUAUGUAGAUACGUAUGUUUAACUAAAUACGCGUGUGAGAUUGAAUAAAAAAAUACAAUACUUAAGCCUAUCUACAAGUUACAACGAACACCAGUCGUAUACAACGGAUACUUUUGACGAUCCUGUGGUUCGUGAUAACCCAUUAUAAUAAUAGGUGUAUACAGGUAUCAGUGUAAUAAUAACAAUAAUUAAAAUAAAUAAAAUAA